rnacentral:pre_miRNA from 1 species
AAUAAAUACAGUUUUAUAUUAUUCAUGUCUAACGUUGACCGUUCAUUUUAUUUGAAAUUCUUUUUAUGAUUACUAUUUUUAAUGUUAUUAGAUGAUAAAAUAUGAAUAGUACUUUAUGUGUGACUAAUUUUUUUUAUAAAUUUUUUAAAUAAGACGGAUGGUCAAAUAUUAGAUACGGAUUUUCACGGCUGCACUUAUU